rnacentral:lncRNA from 1 species
CUCUUAUUAUACUCUUAAAGAAAAUGUUUUUAAAAUUUCAUUGAACAUUUUAAAAAUACAUCACAAAUGUGUUAAUUGAUAUCAAUAUCUCAUUCUUUUUUUUAGAGAGAGAAAGAAUUUUUCAAUAUUUUUUAGUUUUCGACAGACACAACAUCUUUAUUUUAUUUUUAUGUGGUGCUGAGGAUCGAACCCAGCACCCCACGCAUGCCAGGUGAGCGCGCUACCGCUUGAGCACAUCCCCAGCCCCAAUAUCUCAUUCUUCCAACAUAAAUUGUUGCAGAUAGACUCCGUUAUAUGGGACAAUCUAUCCUAAGAUUAUGUAAGGUCCAUGGAUUAAACCUUAGCUCUGGAAGAAAUAAAAAUAUGUGGAACAGAUAUGAGAAAAUAGGGUUGGUAGUUGAUUAGAAGAAGGCACAGGGGGUGUAGGAAACAGUGGUGAAAUGUCCUAUAUUCUGUGUGAUUAGUGGUCUAUGAAUGUGUGCAAUCUCCAGAACUCACUGAACUGCAUGUUUAUGGUCUGUGUUAUUUAUUUAUUUAUUUAUUAAUACCGACUUUUUAGAAAACCUUAGCCCUAUGUCUUAGUAUGUUUGCCAUGCUAUCACAGAAUAGCUGAGACUGGAUAAGUUAUAAAGCACAGAGAUAUAUUUCUUACCAUUCUGGAUGCUGGAAAGUUCAAGGACAAGGCCUUCCUGUGUCAUUCCAUGGUGAAAGCAGAAGGGGAAGGGAAGAGUUAUUCUUUCAUCCAGAACUCUGGAAGAAAUAAAAAUACGUGGAACAGAUAUGAGAAAAUAGGGUUGGUAGUUGAUUAGAAGUUAGUCCCACUAUAAUGGCAUUAACCCAUUCAUGAGGGCAGAGACUUCGUGACAUAAUCUUAAAGAUCUCACCUCUCAACAUGUUGGGGAUUAAGUUACCAGCUCAUGAACUCUGGGGACACAUUCAGACCAUAACACCUUAUUACUAUUACAAUCACUCCAAAGAGUCAGCACUUAGGUGUGGGCUUAACAAAACGCGUACAUAAUCUGUAUGCUGAAAAUUGCCAAAUUCUAAGGAAAGAAGGUAAGUAUACUAGAGGGUUCUAUUAUGUUCACAGAUUUGAAAACUCAACAUAGUAAAAAUGUCGUCUCCAAAUCAAUCUGUCAGUUUAAAACAAUUCCUUUUAAAAUCCCAACAAUGUUAUUAUUAUUUUUUGGUAGCUAUUUGCAAACUUAUUCUAAAAUUUAUAAAUAAAGCCUACCAUUUAGCAACCGAGAGGUGUUGUAUUGGCAGAGAAAUAGAGAUCAGUGGAAAGGAAGUGAGAACCAAGAAACACACCCAUAUUAAGUAUGCUCAACUGAGGUUUUUGUUGUUGUUGUGUUUUGCAUACUGGGGACCCAACCCAGGGCCUCACACAUGCUAGGCAAGUGCUGUAUCAGUGAGCCACAUCCCCUUCAACUUAUUUUUUACGAAAGAGCAGCAACUGUUUAGUGGAGAAAGAAUAGCCUUUUCAACAAAUGGCACUAUGGCACUGGAACAAUUGGAUAUUUUUGUAGGUAAUUUUUUUUUUUGUAGGAAAAAAACAAAACAAAAACCCUCCUCCUAAACCUCUCACCUAGCCCAAAAAUCUGAAUCAUGGACUUAUGUGUAAAGCAUGAAAGCAUAAAAAUUUUAGAAAAACUUCAAUCUAGAGACAAGAAAAAUUCUUGGACUUCCAACGCCAUGCACAAUCCAUAAAAGGAAAAAUGGAACACAUUGGACUUCAUCAAAAUUAAAGACUUAGCAAAAACUAUGCAAAAAAGAUGCAAAGUUGAAUGCAGACUGGAAAAAUAUUUGCAAGCCACAUAUUCAACAAAGAAAGUGUCUUGACUAUAUAAACACUCAACAGAUGGGGGAAAAUUGUGCGAAGUGGCACACACCUAUAAUUCCAGCAGCUCAAGAGGCUGAGGCAGGAGGAUCACAAGUUCAAAGCCAGCCUUAACAACUUUAGAGAGACCCUGUCUUAAAAAAUAAAAAGGGUGGAGGAUGUGGCUCAGUGUUUAAGCACCCUGCGUUCAAUCCCCAGUACCAAAAAAAAAAAAAGAGAGAGAGAAAAAGAAAAAAUUCCAACAGGAAAAUGUGAAGAAGGCAUGAGCAGAUAUUUCACUAAAGAAGAUAUACAAAGAGCAAACAAGCACAAGAAAAGAUAUUCACCAUUAAUAUUACAAAUGCAUGUUAAGAUCACAAUCGUUUUAAUCAUUCCAUGCCUCUUGGAAUGACUAAAGUUUUUAAAAGUGCUAACACUGAAUGCUUGAUGCUUGGAAGGACAUAAGAAAGCUGGACCAAUCAGUCAUUGCUGGUGGGUAUGUAAAAUGAUACAGGCACUCUGGACAGGAGUUUGCAGUUUCCUAUAAAACUAAACAUACAAACACACCACAUGACCCAGCUAUCACUCUUCAGCCUCUGUCCCAGAGAAGGGGAAACGUAGGCAUAACCAAUACCCUGCACAAGAUGCUCAUCACAACUCUAUUUGUAAUGGUCAAAACCUGGAAGCAACAAGCUGUCUUUCAAAGGAUGAACAGUUAGGCACACUGUGGCACAUCCACACCCUGAGAAGCCACUCAGCAAUAAAAAGGAACAAUCAAUAUAUGUGACUUGGAUGGACCUCCAGGGAGUGCACUGAGAGAGGGGACAUGCCCAUCCCAAAGGUUACAUACUGUAUGACUCUAUUUUUUAAAAAAAAACAUUUAUUUUUUUAGUUGUAGUUGGACACCCAAUACCUUAUUUAUUUGUAUGUGAUGCUGAGGAUCGAACCCAGGGCCUCACUCUACCGCUGAGCCACAACCCAGCCCUGUGUGGCCCUGUUUGCAUGACAUUCUUGAAAGAACAAAAUGACAGAAGUGGAGACCAGAUGUGUGGGGAUGUAGGCAGGGCGAAUGCGCAGGUGUUGCUUUCCACAACUGAGUGGCACCGAGUGCUUUGUGGCGAUGGAGACGUCCUGUGUCUCCACUGCGUGAGUGUCAGUACCCCGGCUGUGAUGCUGCUGUAUCCUUUCCCAAGAGCUCACCACUGUGGAAACUGGGCAAGGGUCCUAGGGUUCUGCGUACCUCACCUCACAUGGCUGGUGAAUCUGCAAGCCUAUCACAGUGGAAAGUUGAUCUGAACAAAUCUGAAGUUUUUCCACGUGAGUCUCCCACUCGCAUCUCAGAUCUCCUGCCAACCCACUGUUCCUCUUCUCUUCACAGGAACUUAAUGAAUGACUACUUAAAAAUGGACCAUUUCUGUUCACUGAGUGCUUUGAGUAACUGUUCUUUCUCACUUCUUUCUGUCUAAAUACGGUUUGGUUUAUUUUGUUGAUGGCGUCAUUUGCAGAGUAAAAGCGUAAAAUAGCAGAGAAAAAAAGUGGAGAAGUCUCUUCCAAAGAAGAAAAAAGAAAAUAACCAAUAAAUAUUGCAAAUGUAUAUAUAUAUAUAGAUAGAUAUUCUGAACACCAAGCUGUUCUUUGCCCCCCCCCCAUGACCUCUCCUGUCACAUAUGACCACCGUGGAGUGCCACGGAGAUUACAUUGCCAUGGGACAUUUUAGCAGUUCAGGGGCGGCCUCCGUCAUCUGAUAUUGCUUGUAUUUCCUAGCCGCGGCCCUCCCUCCACUGCUCUUCAGACUUGUUGACCUUAUUAUUACAACGUGGUAACGGAAAAUGACGAAGACAUGACGAUGAGAGGCUGAUUAAUAAAUCUCCCAGUGCUCUUUCUGAACUCUGGCCCCGUGCAAGAAGCGGGUAAAAGCAGAUGGACUGGCAGAAGACCAUCAGGGAGUAGGGACUUCAGCCCUGGAGACCAGCUGGGGCAGGCAUUUGCAGCAUUUGGAAUGAGGCCUUGGACUGAUGCCCUGUUUUGUUAGACACCAUGUACCCUAUUUCUUAAAUAACUGUGAAUUGACUCAGGUAGUAAUGUUAGAAAAAGAAAAAUGUAUUACUGGUGAAAAAAAUCACAUAUCAAAAGAAAUAUUAAAGUUGUUACUUCAAGUCUUUUUAAAUGUGUUUCCAUCGAAGAUAUGGUUCCAUCUAAUCAAUCAAAAUCUGAUGAAUAAGAAUAACUCUGACUUGCUGUUUAGAACAAGGCAAGUGAUGGCCUGGUCCUCAUUGCCUUUCGGAAGAAGCUGAAUGUCAUGUCUAGGACUUGGCAGAAUUCUUCAGAUCCUCUAAUGAUAGCACCAGUAAAAAAUGUCAUCAUGUUCCAAUGCAGUUAUCUGUAGACAGGCUCUCAUUUUAUAUUUAACUUGGAAAAUGUUUAUAACUGUUCAAAAAAUAUGUUUACAAAAAUUUAGAAUCAUCCUUUUCAGUUGUACACCUGGAUUCUGUUGGAUGCAAAAAUGAAAGGCUGCGGUGGAGCUCAGUGGGAGAGCAUUUGUCUUGCAUGCACAAAGUCCUGGGUUCCAUCCCCAACACUGCAGAAAAACGAAAAAAAAAAAAAAAGAGAAAGUCUCAAGAGGAAAAUUAGGUUGAGGUCAACAUUAUAUCAUGUUUGGCCAGGGAUUUUUUUUUUUUUUUAGCAAUUUCAAGCUAUCCCUGGAUUGGUUGUACUUUUAUGAAUCUUCUUACAUUAUGUUACUGUUAUAAUUAUCUUCUACUCAUAAUAAGAUAAUAAGGAUGGCCACUAUUUACUGAGCCCUCCUCCAGACAACCACUGGUAGGAGGUGUAGGUUCACCAUCAUGCUGCCUCAUGAGGUGCAUACCAUUAUCCCCACUGUGGAAGCUCUGGAAGGUGAGUGACAUGCCUGACAGGUCACCACAGCAGGGAAAGACAGCCAGGUUUGGACCCCAGACCAGACAGUAGAAUUCAUGAGCCCACACACCCUUUAAAAACCAAAGUGACCUCUUGUCAGGUGGGUGAUCUGAGGUUCUAGAAUUCUUCCAGUUCAUGUUGUAGCCAUUGAAGUUCGUAAUUCUUAGACAACUCUUUAGAAGUUGGGCCAUACAUUACCUAUCCAAUUGUGUUGACCAUGUUACCCAGGCUCAUGUCACCUACCACUGACCACUGCUGUCCUCCUUUGACCAGCAUGUGUGGGUGUGUAAACGCGCAGAGUGAGAAGAGGAGAUGACAAGAUGUCUGACCCAGUCCUGGGGCUGGUUCUGUAGGUCACUGAUAGGCUAUCUGGUCUUGUUGGUGAACCCCUGGAACUGUAUUUGGAAUAAUUUAUAUUAAAUGUCCCAUAAGACAUGUAUUCUGGAGUAACUCUUUGGAUAUUGACUUCAGAAAUCUGGAAUAAUCAUAUUGGUACUCAGCUAGGGAAUUUGAUUGGAGGAAUUUUAAUUAGAGUCACCAAAAAUAAUCUUUCAGCAAGUUUAGAAGGUCAUCAGUAAUACUCAAAAUAUGGCAUUUUUACUUAUUUACACAGUGUAUCAAAUAGGAUUUCCAACAUUCUUUUUAAACAAAGAGCUACGGAAUUGGGGCAGAGGGUAAAUAAGGGUAGACAGCUACCAUGAAGCCGAGGAGGGUGAGUCCAGAAUGCAUAUUGUACAGUGUGCGUCAUUAGUUACACCGCCUUUUAAAAAUAAGCCUGCACAGCCACUUUCCUAAAAAUGUGGCAUCUUGAUCACAAAUCUCCAUCUCUUUUUCGGCUCUGGAACUUGUUGUCUUUUUCAUGCUGUGUCCUUUCUGCUCUGCAUUGGGAAAUAUUCCACUUGAUUCUGUCCUUUCACAUCUUGUUUUGUUUUCCCAACAGGCAACCUUCCGUGGCAUCUGAGACAAUGAAAAAUCACUGGCGCUUUUUUAAACAAAUGAUCGCGAGGAGCAUUUGGGGACUCGGUUGCCAAGUUAGCUGGAGCCUCUUCUGUGGGCAGGCUCAUGUUUCCAAUUCGGGACUCGGAGCCAUCAGCUGCACCACAUUCUCACAUCCGCUUGACGUCAGUGCUGAGCCCUGUGGUAUCUUUAGAAGCUCACUGUGCACACAGGACAGCGAGGGGUGAGCUGUCCCCCUGGAAAACACUCACCUGCCAUCUGUUUUUGAAGCCAGAACUUGGCACUGGUACCAAGAUCUUUCUUCUAGAAACUGCCACCACCUCCCAGCCACACAGUGGACAGAUCUGAAAAGGGGAACUGACUUUGCCACUGGUUUCCCCUUUCCUGUGAAAAAUCAUACAGAAGCCUUUCCUAAAACCGUGACUCAUGAAGUGAAAACAUUGUGUGCAUUCAUUCCAUCAGCAUCUCAAAUAAAUGAGUUGAAUUUGAUAAAAAAUGAAAUAUAAAUGCCUUUAUAUGGAACAGCAACAUGUUUUAGAUAAAACAUGCUGUGCAUUAUUUUCCCUUCCUGCCAGUAUAAAAAUAAAAAGAAAGACCCACAUAUAUUAGGCAGAAUUAUG